rnacentral:tRNA from 1 species
AGCUUGCUGGCGGAGCCAGCCGUUGUCCCGGCUCUCGUCUGGGAGGAUCGCGACGGUCGGGAAUCCGUCGUACGCAGCC